rnacentral:rRNA from 1 species
GAUGAACGCUGGCGGCGUGCCUAAUACAUGCAAGUCGAGCGAACGGACGAGAAGCUUGCUUUUCUGAUGUUAGCGGCGGACGGGUGAGUAACACGUGGAUAACCUACCUAUAAGACUGGGAUAACUUCGGGAAACCAGAGCUAAUACCGGAUAAUAUUUUGAACCGCAUGGUUCAAAAGUGAAAGACGGUCUUGCUGUCACUUAUAGAUGGAUCCGCGCUGCAUUAGCUAGUUGGUAAGGUAACGGCUUACUAAGGCAACGAUGCAUAGCCGACCUGAGAGGGUGAUCGGCCACACUGGAACUGAGACACGGUCCAGACUCCUACGGGAGGCAGCAGUAGGGAAUCUUCCGCAAUGGGCGAAAGCCUGACGGAGCAACGCCGCGUGAGUGAUGAAGGUCUUCGGAUCGUAAAACUCUGUUAUUAGGGAAGAACAUAUGUGUAAGUAACUGUGCACAUCUUGACGGUACCUAAUCAGAAAGCCACGGCUAACUACGUG